AUAUUGCUCCCCAAGCUAUGACUCCAAAAAAAUGAAUAUUUAAUUAUCAUUUCAUGCUUCUAUAUAGUCUCCACCAGUUGCUGUCGUAGGACAUAUUGAAGAUCCUCGGGUCUAAGGUGUGAGCCGUUCUGCAGAAGCAGGUCUGUUGUGUCAAGGCUUCCUGAAAUACUGAAGCACAGAGUAUUACUCCUGUGGCUAUGACAUCACCACACGGAAAAGCUUAAGCUACUUUAAAAGUGUUUUCUUCUCCUAAAUAUACCCUUAACUACAUCUAACUAAAGACACUUCUCAGUAUAGUGUGUGCUUGGAAACUGUUUCCAGUGUGUACCUUGCAAAGCUAACCUUGUUGAAUAUGAUUGACUGCCUGCUGAGUGAUCAUUUCAGGAGUGUUCUGUUUGCAAUUUUCUAGGAAAUGUUGCUUCUUUACUCAUCAAGGAAGAGCAAACCAGAAAUGCCAGCAUUGUUUACCAUGUGGAAAAUUAAAAUUAUCUUAAUGAAGAGUGUCCACAUGCUGGCACAUGGCCAGAUGAAUCAUAUUUGUCAAAGUUGCCAAAAGAAGCCACUUUUGUGUCCUUAAGGACAAAGUGUACGAGGACGAGGACGGCAAAGAAGAGAAGGUGAAUUCACAGCAUGAAAACAGGAGAGAGGUUACCCUAAAAUACCAUCAGUGGACGGCAUCAUCUGUUAUGUAUGUAUGUAUGUGUGUGUGUAUGAUUGUGUGCAUGAGACUGUAUCAUGUAUGUAUGCAUACAUGUCCAUAUACAUAUCUAUAUAUUCAUUCCAGAAAAUUAUGAAUGUAUUUGAGAGAAACAGCCUGUGCUACAGUGACGUUAGAAUAGAUAUUAACAUUUGAACAUAUUAAUGUAUAAAUAAUGAUAUAUAGUGAUAUUAAUAUUUAAAUCCAGAGAUUUGUUUUUAAAAUAGGCUUUACAAGUUUGAUUAGUGUUAAGUCCUGUGAUGCCAACCAUCAAACCAAAAUUGUUACUAUAUUACAGACCAAAAAUUCAACCUAGAGUCUGCUGUUCUACAGACCAGCUUCCUCUAGAGUCUAUUAUGGCAUAACCCUGUCCACGGCAGAUUUCUAAUCAAAGACUUCACUUCUACAUUGUUACCGCAGAAGUUACUGAGGAAGGCUUUAAUAAGAUCACAUCAUAGUAAAAGAAGCCACUUCAAAGCUAAAUUUAAAGGUUUUAAUUGAUGUGAGAAAAUGAAUAUAAAGCUACCAGGAAGAAGAAAACAUCAAGUCUUUCACUGUCCUGUUCCAAUCUCUGCAUUUCAUUUUGUUAAUUCUCAAAAAGAAAACAUUAUCUGGGCUCACACCAAGUAACUGCAAGUAUUGUCUAAGUGAGAUAUAGUAAAGGAAGGAUGACGCAACAUUCAUUAUUCCCGAAUGGAAUUGGUUCUGCAUGUUUCACAUAGAAGAUGUGUGCAUGGAUUGACUGUAGAAGCUUAUUGCUGAGAUUUUUUUUCUUUUCCAUUUUUUAUUAGGUAUUUAGCUCAUUUACAUUUCCAAUGCUAUACCAAAAGUCCCCCAUAGCCACCCACCCCCACUCCCCUACCCACCCACUCCCCCUUUUUGGCCCUGGCGUUCCCCUGUACUGAGAUUUUUACUAGGGGUAUAUUAUGUCAACUUUAAAAUGUUUCUUUUUAAGGAGACAAUUUUUGCCAUCUAUUGGUAGGCUAAUGUUACAUUCUAAUCAAAACGGACUCUAAAUAACCUUUGUUAUCCAGAAGUUUUUCUUUCUUAAAAAUGUCUGAAAUUAAUUCCUUAGUAACCUGAUGGGGAAAAUGCUGUUCAAGUUUUUUAAAAUCUUACAUUUGCCUAAUGGGAUUGUUCAAUGUUAGCAUUGCCUGUACCUCUUCACAUCUUAUUUUAGUUAUUUGACACACCGAUCUGGUUCAUUAUUUUUAAAGACUACUGGUUGCUCUGUAGUAAAUUUCUACAGUUGUUCCCUUGAGGUCUCGAAAUGACCUUCUUAAACACAGUAAGCACUUUGCAUGACAAUGUUGCAGUGCUUUAGUGUCUUCUGUUUAUAAAGGAAAGUCUUUAGAUGUGUUUUAAAUAAAGUUUCACAUGUGUGAGAUCUAAUGCUUGUA
ensembl:lncRNA